rnacentral:tRNA from 11 species
UUGAAAGGGAUGUAGCGCAGCUCGGUAGCGCGUUUGUUUUGGGUACAAAAUGUCGCGGGUUCAAAUCCUGUCAUCCCUA